rnacentral:rRNA from 1 species
GGCUUAACACAUGCAAGUCGAGGGGUAACAUUGUGCUUGCACAGAUGACGACCGGCGCACGGGUGCGUAACGCGUAUAGAACCUACCUUUUACAGAGGAAUAGCCUUUAGAAAUGAAGAUUAAUGCCUCAUGGUAUUGUAGACUGGCAUCAGUUUAUAAUUAAAGAUUUAUCGGUAAAAGAUGGCUAUGCGUCCUAUUAGUUAGUUGGUAAGGUAACGGCUUACCAAGACAGCGAUAGGUAGGGGUCCUGAGAGGGAGAUCCCCCACACUGGUACUGAGACACGGACCAGACUCCUACGGGAGGCAGCAGUGAGGAAUAUUGGACAAUGGAGGAGACUCUGAUCCAGCCAUGCCGCGUGUAGGAAGAAUGCCCUAUGGGUUGUAAACUACUUUUAUACAGGAAGAAACACUGGUAUGUAUACCAGCUUGACGGUACUGUAAGAAUAAGGA